CGAGUUUGAUCAUGGCUACGAGAUUGAACGCUGGCGGAAUGCUUUACACAUGCAAGUCGAACGGUAGAGGGGGCAACCCUUGAGAGUGGCGAACGGGUGAGUAAUAUAUCGGAACGUGCCCAGUCGUGGGGGAUAACGUAGCGAAAGUUACGCUAAUACCGCAUACGAUCUAAGGAUGAAAGCGGGGGAUCGCAAGACCUCGCGCGAUUGGAGCGGCCGAUAUCAGAUUAGGUAGUUGGUGAGGUAAAGGCUCACCAAGCCGACGAUCUGUAGCUGGUCUGAGAGGACGACCAGCCACACUGGGACUGAGACACGGCCCAGACUCCUACGGGAGGCAGCAGUGGGGAAUUUUGGACAAUGGGCGCAAGCCUGAUCCAGCAAUGCCGCGUGCAGGAUGAAGGCCUUCGGGUUGUAAACUGCUUUUGUACGGAACGAAACGGUGAGCUCUAAUACAGUUUGCUAAUGACGGUACCGUAAGAAUAAGCACCGGCUAACUACGUG
rnacentral:rRNA from 1 species